rnacentral:rRNA from 1 species
GACGGGGGGGGCAAGUGGUUCUUCGGAAUGACUGGGCGUAAAGGGCACGUAGGCGGUGAAUCGGGUUGAAAGUGAAAGUCGCCAAAAAGUGGCGGAAUGCUCUCGAAACCAAUUCACUUGAGUGAGACAGAGGAGAGUGGAAUUUCGUGUGUAGGGGUGAAAUCCGUAAAUAUACGAAGGAACGCCAAAAGCGAAGGCAGCUCUCUGGGUCCCUACCGACACUGGGGUGCGAAAGCAUGGGGAGCGAACAGGG